rnacentral:rRNA from 1 species
UACGUAGGGUGCGAGCGUUGUCCGGAAUUACUGGGCGUAAAGAGCUCGUGGGUGGUUUGUCGCGUUGUCCGUGAAAACUCACAACUCAAUUGUGGGCGUGCGGGCGAUACGGGCAGACUGGAGUACUGCAGGGGAGACUGGAAUUCCUGGUGUAGCGGUGGAAUGCGCAGAUAUCAGGAGGAACACCGGUGGCGAAGGCGGGUCUCUGGGCAGUAACUGACGCUGAGGAGCGAAAGCGUGGGGAGCGAACAGG